rnacentral:rRNA from 1 species
AUUGAACGCUGGCGGCAGGCCUAACACAUGCAAGUCGAGCGGAUGAAGGGAGCUUGCUCCUGGAUUCAGCGGCGGACGGGUGAGUAAUGCCUAGGAAUCUGCCUGGUAGUGGGGGAUAACGUCCGGAAACGGGCGCUAAUACCGCAUACGUCCUGAGGGAGAAAGUGGGGGAUCUUCGGACCUCACGCUAUCAGAUGAGCCUAGGUCGGAUUAGCUAGUUGGUGGGGUAAAGGCCUACCAAGGCGACGAUCCGUAACUGGUCUGAGAGGAUGAUCAGUCACACUGGAACUGAGACACGGUCCAGACUCCUACGGGAGGCAGCAGUGGGGAAUAUUGGACAAUGGGCAAAAGCCUGAUCCAGCCAUGCCGCGUGCGUGAAGAAGGUCUUCGGAUUGUAAAGCACUUUAAGUUGGGAGGAAGGGCAGUAAGUUAAUACCUUGCUGUUUUGACGUUACCAACAGAAUAAGCACCGGCUAACUUCGUG